rnacentral:tRNA from 1 species
CAGAUUGAAGCCAGUUGAUUAGGGGGUUUAGUUGUUAACUAAAUUUUCGUGGGUUUGAAUUCUACCAAUCUAG